rnacentral:snRNA from 1 species
AUCGUUUGUUGGCCUUUUGGCUAAUAUCAAAUGUGUAAUCUAUUUGCGUCAGUUUAUUACUGACAUCCUUUAUCCAAGGACAAUACAGUAAAACCUUAGUUUUUGAGCAUCAUUCAUU